rnacentral:misc_RNA from 1 species
GCGCCGACUCGUGGAAACUUUCUUCUCGGAAAACGAGGGUAAUGGAGUCCAACAUGAAGUCGAAGCUAGAUAGAGAAUAAAAGAGGAAAGGAGACGUAGAAUGGAUUUCGACCAGCGUUAUUUGUACGUAUCUGCAAGACGAAUACUUUCACGUAACGCGCAGAGGAACAGCGUGACGAGGAAAAUCGAGGAAGUUUCAUGGCCUGCGCAUCGGUGUCGAGGGUUGGAAGCAGACGCAGAGGUAUGGCAAGCACGUGGCACACGUGACUACACGGCGCAUAAGGCACUCGAACGUGGAUAUGGAGUGCGAAGAUGAAAGCGGAAGACAGCGCGCGAGAGAGGCUCUCUGUACGGCAAAGGGG